ACAGUCCAUAGUCAGUGCUAUGCUGUUUGCACAGUUUCAUAGUAAAACAUGACUAACUAGCGAAGGCUGAUGAAGUAACCCUUGGAAUUAACUUUUAAUACAGAGCAGGAUAAGAAGAUACACUUGACAGGAGAGAAGAGAGAUGUGGAGAAAAAAAUGAGUUACUGUAGGAUUGAACAAAAAUCCCCAUCAUUUAAAAUACUGGACAAGACCCCUGGACUUUACUAACACCUAAAAUACUGGACAAAGUCCCAGGCUCAAGUAAACACACAAGACAGCCAGAAUGAUUUCAGCCUGGAAUUCCAAGUUAUACCACCACUCUCGGAGAACGAUCAACCAAAUCUAACAUUCUAGAGCAGGACUAACUUUUACAACUCAGGCUACUCAGCACAGACAGUCUGGGGCCUAGACGGAUACCGAGCAUUUAACCUCAAUCAAAAUCCAUUUGCAGAGAUACCGGGAAUUAAACUUCAAUCAAAAUCCAUUCAUAUAUACUCUUAACAAACCAAUUGACUUCACAACGAACACCAGUAACACAAGAGCGAGCACAGAUCUGGCACAAAGAUAAGGGGUCCACAAUCAGUAUAACUGCAGGCCCCAACCUCACCUAAGGCAGUGAUCUCUGGGAGUGUUCCAAGAUGAUGUCUCCAGAAGAGGGAUCUCAAGGAGUUAUUCCCAGCAGUGUAACAAAGAACAAUCUCAAAAGAAGAAUCCCAACUGCUAAUUCCAAUGGCCAUUUCCAAGAGCUGUCUCCAGAAGGGGGAUCCCAACAGCAAUUCCAAGAGCGACCAACACAAGCCUGUUCCAAACCAGGGGAAACAACAACAACCAACCAUGACCUGCAGAUCCAAGAACUGAAAAGCUCCAAAAGCCACUGACCUGACUGGCACCACAAGGCAUCAGGCAAAUGCUGAGGUGAAAACCAGGCCCACAAAACCACCAGAAAGUAAUGAAAACUGAGUACUUACCCGAUAGAUCCACUACACGUCCUACCGCAUCAUCAGACUCAACACAAACUGAAGGCCAGUGGAAUCCGAAGUCUCCUGCCAGGCAUCAGAACCAGGGAGCUGGAGGUGAUUUGAACCACCUAAAAAUCAGAAAAAAUGCUGACUGCAAACCAGACUCCAAAGAAUGGUGACCGGGGCAGCGCACCAGCAGAGGGAAUGUGAGGUGGUGGAUGGUGUUUCAGAAGCAAAGUCUCUGAUGGAGGAGAGGAUCACCCACUAUGUGUUUAAAAAGGUGAAUAUAUCUAAGAAAGGGGCCCUUGAUGUGUUGCAAGCUGAGCAUCCAGGGGAAGCAGCAGCCCAGUGGACUGACAGCAAGGAGCGUAAAUGUUCCAUACAGAAGGCAAUCCGGCUCCUCUGUCUUCAAUGACAGAUCUGGGGACUGGAUAAGAAAGUCAAGGAACUGAAAGCAGAGUUAAGGGAGUCAGAGGAAGGCUCUAGCAUGAGGACCAGGUCAGGAGAAAUGCUGUACACAGACCUGCAGCGAGAGAGGCAAGAGAGGUAGCAAACAGGGGAAAGACAUAGGAAUGAAGCCAGCGGUGUCAGAUUACUGAAGCCAAGGCACUGAAAGAGAAAAAUCGCCAUCUGGGGAUGCAAGUUACAGUACAGGUUGAGAAACUAAGGGACAUCCAGGCAGUCUACAACGUGGCCUGCAGUGAGGAGUAUCAGAAGGGAGACCACGGUUACUGCCAGGAACUGAUCAGUAAACUAAGCCUAGCUGUGACCCAGGCCAGAUAAGCCUGGGUGGGGACCAGGCAGGCAGGGAAGGGCAAGGGGGUGAGGCAGGACUGGAUGAUGGGGCAGUCAGGGACACUCGGUCAGCCUUUGGUGUUGGAGGAUGGUGGCAGGCAGUGUGGCAGCAGGGAGAUUGAAUAGAUUGCAGGGCAAGGGGAAAUCACUGGAUUGCCACCCUGUGGUGCUGGGAUUAGUCCUGGUCCGGCAGUAGGUAGAUGGGGGAGCAGGGCCAGCACUAGAAGGGUAGGGGCCAUGGUGCACAUUUUGUUUCCACAUGGAAUCCAGUGGCUCAGGAUGAUGGCAGCACACCUGGAGAAGCUGACAGAUAUAGGAGACCCAUCUGUGCACUUCAUGGAAGUGGAACAGGCAGGAGAAGUAAAUGGCUCUGACAAUUCCAAGACGGCCAAGUUGCUGCUGUUCUUGCUGGACAGGAAGCUGUAGAAAGCCCUCUGGGCUGACAGCAAGAAGGGGCAGAAUAUGUUCGCCACCAACCAGGAAGACAUGCUGGAAGCCAUGGACAUCGAUGAUGGAAGCCCGUUCCCUCAAGUGGAGAAUACCCUACAGAUCACAGGGGAAAUCCCACAGGCAUUUGUGGAUAGGCUGUGGCCUGGUUACACGAGAGCCUGUGGAGGCACUUUGACCGGGAUAACCUCCGGUGGGCCAG